GAAGUGCAGCGUUGUCCGGAAUUAUUGGGCGUAAAGCGCGCGCAGGCGGUUUCUUAAGUCUGAUGUGAAAGCCCCCGGCUCAACCGGGGAGGGUCAUUGGAAACUGGGAGACUUGAGUGCAGAAGAGGAGAGUGGAAUUCCACGUGUAGCGGUGAAAUGCGUAGAGAUGUGGAGGAACACCAGUGGCGAAGGCGACUCUCUGGUCUGUAACUGACGCUGAGGCGCGAAAGCGUGGGGAGCAAACAGGAUUAGAUACCCUGGUAGUCCACGCCGUAAACGAUGAGUGCUAAGUGUUAGAGGGUUUCCGCCCUUUAUUGCUGCAGCUAACGCAUUAAGCACUCCGCCUGGGGAGUACGGGCCGCAGGACUGAAACUCAAAGAAAUUGACCGGGCCCCGCACAACCUGUGAAACAUGUGGUUUAAUUGGAAGGAACGCAAAGAACCUUACCGGGUCUUGACAUCCCCCGGAGGGCUCAAGAUAUAUUUUGUAGCCUGUCGAGAAUAUAAAGCAACGGGGAAAGGUUUCCUCGUUUCUCCCCAAUAAAAAAAAAGGGGCCCCCCUGGUGG
rnacentral:rRNA from 1 species